UCGAGAGGGUGUAAGACCUCGGCAUACUGCUCAGUAACACGUGGUUAACCUGCCCUAAGGUGGAGAAUACUCCCGGGAAACUGGGGCUAAUGCUCCAUAGUGGAUAUAUCCUGGAAUGGUAUAUCCUCGAAAGAUCCGUCGCCUUAGGAUGGGACUGCGUCCGAUUAGGUUGUUGGCGGGGUAACGGCCCACCAAGCCUUUUAUCGGUACGGGUUGUGGGAGCAAGAUCCCGGAGAUGGAUUCUGAGACAUGAAUCCAGGCCCUACGGGGCGCAGCAGGCGCGCAAACUUUACAAUGCGAGCAAUCGUGAUAAGGAAACCCUGAGUGCCUGUCGAUGCAGGCUGUUCAUAUAUCUAAAUCAUAUGUGAAGAAAGGGCAGGGCAAGACCGGUGCCAGCCGCCGCGGUAAUACCGGCUGCUCGAGUGAUGGCCACUAUUACUGGGUUUAAAGCGUCCGUAGCUUGACUGUUAGGUCUCUUGGGAAAUCUUCGCGCUCAACGUGAAGGCGUCUAAGAGAUACCGGCAGUCUUGGAACUGGGAGAGGUAAACCGUACUUCGGGGGUAGGAGUGAAAUCUUGUAAUCCUCGAGGGUCGACCUAUGGCGAAGGCAGUUUACCAGAACAGCUUCGACAGUGAGGGACGAAAGCUGGGGGAGCAAACGGGAUUAGAUACCCCGGUAGUCCCAGCCGUAAACAAUGUGCGUUAGGUGUGUCGGUAACCACGUGUUACUGAUGCGCCGAAGAGAAAUCGUGAAACGCACCACCUGGGAAGUACGGUCGCAAGGCUGAAACUUAA
rnacentral:rRNA from 1 species